rnacentral:lncRNA from 1 species
GAGCCCAGCGUACCCUCUCCCUUACACACACGCUCUACUUCUGAAUCGACAGAUUUUGAGAGGAAACUUUCUCUUUCACACUCUCUCUCCCUCCUUCCCGGUUUCCUUCUACCAAGGCCAGUCUGGUGGAAAACGUGGCCACAGACCCCUACCCUCAAUUUCUUUUCCACAUGCCGCAGAAGGAGCCUCCUUGACGCGAUUUCCCCGGGUUGUUCGUACUGGCAAAGCCCAUUUCCCAGCCGAACAAACUUCUCAAACACGUCUACCUGGGUAGACUUCUCAAAGCGCAAAAAACUCUUUUCUCCCCAACACCGAGCAACACAAUUCUUCUAAAUGGCACUUCCUCCUGAAUAUUAGGCACGACUUUAUUCCCUUUCGAGGAAUUCCUACCCCUUCUUCCUAAUCCCCCCUCCCCUCCACCCCAACAGGCGGAGUGAAAAGUUUGAACAGGAGUAAGUGUGAGGGCGAGUCAAGGCGCUGCCAGGCGCAUCGCGGAGGGGAGCGCCGGCGCUGCCCGGGCCGCGGGGUCGGGCCCCGAGAGCGGACGGGGCGCUGGGCGAGGAGGAGGAGGAGAAGGAAGGGGAGCCCGCUGAGUGAAAAGGGGCCGCGGCCGCCGCUCAUCAAAGUGCUUCCCCCUCCCCCAAGCGACACUUUCCUUUGGAGUCCGAAUAAAAUACGGUAACAGAAUAUGAUGGAGGGCACACUGUUUCCUUAACUGCUUCUCAAAGGACUCGGGAGAUCUUCUUAGGACCUUUAAUAAGGCUUUGGUCGGUUCUUUUGUUGAUCUCUCAAAAUCAACUCCUUCUAAUUGAAGUUGGAGCUGAAAGCGAGCUAAUGUUCAAAGAAAGUGGCCGCCAGACCAACGAAAUUACAUUUUUUUUUUUUGGACGAUGAGGGAACAUCUAAUCAAAGGGGCCAAGGAGGAGGGGUGGGAGUGGAGGAGUAGGAAGGAGAAAAGGAGGUUUUACAAGAUCCUUCUCUGGUUCACAAAAGUCAGCGACACGGGCGCUUCUCUCCAGAACAAAGACACCGCGGCCCAUUCACAAAAGGAAAAGAAAGAGAGACAGAGAGAGAACACAAUAAAAGAAAGAGAGAAAAGGAAAAACAAGAGAAAGAAAAAGCUUUAAGAGGAAAAGAAACUGCGCAGAGCGCAGCGCUGACCCGGCCGGGGACACACCUUAGGCUGGCGCAGGCCCCCGGGGGGAAUAGCCCGCGCGGCCCGCGCUCGGAGCCCCCGAGACGGUGCAGAGGUUUAAAGAAAGAAACGAAAUACACCCCCGCCUUGAGCACCGGAGAAAGGCGCGGGCUGGAGCGCACUAGUUUUUAGAGUUUUUAGAGGGGACCAGGCUGUGGGCGUCGUAGGGUGAGCGUCCGCAGCGUCUGCGUCCCUAGCCCGGUGCUGCCCCAGCCUGGGCCUGCGCUCCGUGUGCCUGGGUUCACCCUCCGUUCCCGGGGCGCCUGCCCUUGUCCCCGUCCCGCAAUCUCCUUCUUGCACUCCUGCCUCCUCCGGG